rnacentral:ncRNA from 1 species
CAAUAGAGGAGCGGCUGACAAGAGUAACCAUGAGGAGAGUGUCAAUUGUAGAUCCAUGGUGAAAGGGAAGGCCGCCGAAGCGGUGGUAUUUGACAGGUAUCACCAGCUGGGAUGCAGCAGAAUAUGCUGCAGACUCUCACUGUUUACAGUGGUGGAGCUAUUGGA